UUAGACUUUGUAAAUGCUUUAACAUCUGGCUCUGCGUCACCACCGGGAUGAAUCCCAUACUGCUGUAGGCCGAGGAGUGGGUUGGUCCAUCAUGCAAACCAAGCACAACUGCAAAGGAGGCCUCCUCUUCACCCUGACCACAGACCCUAUUGUCCAUGUGUGGUACUCUGCGAAUGGCAAGAGGCUAGGCACCUACGUGGAGCUGUGUGGAGUGCGGAUGUUGACUGGAACACUACUCAUGUCCCUCCUGGCUCAGUUGACAACAGCUGUUGUCUCUGGGAUUGUGAAACAGGGAAGCAGUUGGUUCCACUCAGGACCAACUCAGCUGUCCGAGCCUGUGGCAUUGACUUUCAGGGGAAUAUUAUCAUGUUCUUCACAGACACAAAGAUGGCCUACCAAUGUUUUGUGAGCUUCUUUGAUCUAUGGGAUCUGAGCCAAAUCAACAGCAAUGAGCCCUACAUGAAGAUGCCCAGCAAGAUUCCAAGAUCACCGUGCUGUUUGGGGACCCCUGGG
rnacentral:lncRNA from 1 species